AUAGUUGUUUAAAUCAAUAUACAGAUUGCAGAUAAAAUGCUCGUUUUACAAAAGGCUACUAGGUAACGGGGAGAUCUUAAAUUUGCUCUAUUGUUUAAAAAUAUAUUAAGAACCUACGCUUUGAUUAUCAUAUAACGUGAGAUUAAUAAAAUGACUUUAAAAUUAGGUGGUUCAUUUUAACUUUGAAAUUGAGCUACUACUAGUUAUUCCAACAUAAACUUUUUGGUGUGGAAUAGACUGGAAUUCCAAAGUCUAAUACGUAUUGUGGCUUUUACUGUGGACAAUGUUCUGUAUUGUUCUACGACUGGUAUACUUUAGCACAACUGUUUGCCUUGAAUAUUAGAAAGAAAGAUAUUUUAAGAUUUCUAGCAAGUACUGGCAGUUUAUCAUCUUUGUCAAAAAGCACUGGAGUGUCAAAAUUUAGAACAUAGGUGUUUCAAUUCUGAACACAGAACUUCUAACCAAAUUUAUGGAUACAUUUUUUUCUAUAUCAAACUCGUCGGUUUUGGAGUUUAAAGGAGUUUUACACUAAAUACGUGUAUUUCAAAGUCAGAGGAAUUUUCAGAGGAAAUAUUCAUAAGAUUUAAUAAGUAUAUUCACGAUGUUAAUACAGAUGGGAGGGGUACUUGAUGAUAUCAAUAUUUGCUCAUAAAUCAUAAACAGUUACAGCAAUUUAUUUAUAAAAUGCUUGUAGAACUAUUAUGUAAUGCAUACGCGUGAAUAAAGAAAUGUCAUAUAAGAUAUAUUGUUUAAUUGAUAUUUGAAAUACUUUGUUUAAUUGAUAUUUAAAGGGAGCUGCAAAUAAACAUCUUAUUUUCAGAGUUUGGUUUGGUUUCUUUUGAGGAUUUUUCUUCUUGUAUUGCAUAUGUAACUAAAGGUUACAAAUCAUUAAUAAAACUUGGAGUUGGAACUAGUUUAAGGUUCUGACAUUAUUUCUAAUAGUAUAGAGGCCUAAAUAUGUAAUAAGCUGUCUUGAUAUCGAUUGUUAAGAGGGGAUUGGCUAGAUGAAUUUUAAAGUAUUAAGAUAUUCUAUAAACUAGACUGCUGUAAUAUUUACCGAAAACCGAUUAUAUAUGUACAAUGCUACACUAUGCGUUUGAUCAGAUUUUGUUUGAACUUGUCUAGUUGAAGGGUCUCUUGUUUGUUGUGCGUGGAUAGUUCUUCUUGUUCUUAAUGUAUCGCCAGUUUGGUCAAUAUAAUAUUCUUCGCAUCCAUUGCAGGUGAUUACAUACAGUACAUUUUUUUUAUAUCACAGGACAUAUUUUCAUUUACGUAAAAUCUUUUGCCGUUAAAGUUGUAGUAAUUGCUUUCGUUUAUAUGUUUGCAUAAACUACAGUUGGGUCUUUUGCAUUUUGAAACGGUGAAAUUUCCGCUUUUAUCAGACUUUAUUGUGAAUCUUGCUUUUGUCAAUAAUUUUUUAAGGUUUGGUGGUUACCGUUUGCUUUUGAUAAAUUUUGAGUUUGCGAGUACCUCUUUCAUUUUAGUGUCUGACAUUAUUAUAGGUAAAUUAUUUGUGAUAAUUGUAUAUAGUUCAGGGUUUUUAGGGUUGAAUGUAGAUACGUAAGGAAUUGUGUCUUUAUGUGGUUUGAUUUGUGUUUUAAGUAGUUUCUCUCUUGGAAUUUUAAGUGCUUUGCUGAUUCCAUUUUGGAUGAUAGUUUUAGGAUAAUGUUUGUUAAGAAGUGAUGACAAAAGUUCUUUUAAGCGUAUAUUCCUAAUGUUAGUAUCUGAAACAAUUGUGCAAAUACGUCUUGCUAAAUUAUAUGGUAUACUUAAUUUUGUAUGUUUUGGAUGACAUGAUUUAAAAUUAAGGUAUUGUUUUAUAUCUGAAGUUUUAAAGAAAAUGUCUGUUGAAAGAUGGCAACCAUUUUUCUUAAUCAAAUUAUCUAAAAAAGAUAAUUGUGUUUCCCCUAUUUCUAUUGUGAAUUUAAUAUCUGGGUGCAAAUUAUUUAACAGGACGUGGAAAUGCUCAAGUAGGUUUCGUGAUUUUGUCCAAAUGACAAAACAGUCAUCUAGGAAUCGUUUUUGUACCCCCCGACAACAAAGUUGUAAGGGGGGGGGGGGGUAUACUGGUUUCAGGUUGUCUGUCUGUCCGUCUGUCUGUCUGUCCGUCUGGUCGUCUGUCCGUCUGUCCGUAGACGCAAUCUUGUGCGCACCAUCUCUCCUUAUCCCCUUGACAGAAUUUAAUGACACUUCACACAAGUGAUCAGUACCAACAGUAGUUGUGCAUGGGGCAUGUUAGGUUCUUUUAGAAAAAGAAUUUGCAGAGUUAGGGGACUUUGUUUUUUUUGUUACUAUACUAUAUACAUAGACACAAUCUUGUGCGCACCAUCUCUCCUCAUUCCCUGGACACAAUUUAAUGAAACUUCACACAAGUGAUCAGUACCAACAGUAGUUGUGCAUGGGGCAUGUUAGGUUCUUUUAGAAAAAAAAUUUGCAGAGUUAUGGAACUUUGUUUUUUUGUUACUAUAAUAUAUACAUAGACACAAUCUUGUGCGCACCAUCUCUCCUCAUCCCCUUGACACAAUUCAAUGAAACUUCACACAAGUGAUCAGUAACAACAGUAGUUGUGCAUGGGGCAUGUUAGGUUCUUUCAGAAAAAAAAAUUCCAGAGUUAUGGGACUUUGUUUUUUUGUUACUAUACUAUAGACAUAGACACAAUCUUGUGCGCAUAUCUCUCCUCAUUCCCUUGACACAAUUUAAUGAAACUUCACACAACUGAUCAGUAACAACAGUAGUUGUGCAUGGGGCAUGUUAGGUUCUUUCAGCGACAAAAAUUGCAGAUUUAUGGGACCUUGUUUCUUGUUAACAUACUAUGUACAUACAGUCUUCAUAUGCAAUCUUGCGCGUGCCUAAUCUACCAAACCCUUGCACACAAUUUAAUGAAACUUCACACAAGUGAUCAGUACCAACCCUAGUUGUGCAUGGGGCAUGUUGCAUUUUUUUAGAUAAAUAUUCUGCAUAGUUAUGGGACUUUGUUUUUUGUUACUAUACUGUAUACAUACAGUCUAUAUACAUACAGUCCACAUAAUUAUGCAGUCUUGUGUGUGUCAAAUUGCAAUGUUCUGUGUCAGUGCAUGCGGGGGGUACAUUCAUCACCUUUGGUGAUAGCUCUAGUUAAUUCUUUUUUAUAUAUGUAGCAGAUGUUGUGUCUGUUGCAUGUUCCAAGAUUGUAUAAAGCUUUUCUUCCAGGUAACCUAAUACUAAUGUUGCAUAUGUAGGUGCAAAUUUUGUUCCCAUAGCUGUUCCCCUGAUUUGAUUGUACAAGGUUCCAUUGAAUGAACAAUUGUUAUUUUCCAAAAUUGUUUUGAUGCCUUUUAAGUUUUAAGAUGAAUUCUUUUGUAAAUCUUUUAUGAAUACAAUCAGGAUAUUUUUCCAGCCAAUGUUGGAUUGCUUCUAGUCUCAAGUUGUGUGAAAUAUUUGUAAAGGUUUGUAACAUCAAAUGAAACUAAUAAUGCAUCUUCAGUUGUAAUUGAUGGCAUGUGGGAAAGAAAGUCUAUAUCAUCUCUAAUGUAACUUUUAACAUGACAGACAAAGGGUUUUAAUAAAAUAUCUAUAAGGUUACUAAGUCUGUGUGUUUCACAUAUUGGGCCUGCUACUGUCGGUGUAAAUUUGAGAUCAUCUCGGUCUCCUAAUUCUAUAUAUUCAUUAUUUUGUUCAAUGCACUUAUCUUUUAAAAGCUUACUUUUAUGAAUUUUAGGCAGACCAUAAAGCAUACUAGGUUUGAAUUCAAAGUUUAAUAAAUAAUCUAUUUCUUUCCUACUAAUAUCUUUACUAAAUUUAAUGACAUCUCUAAUUUUCUUAAAUGUUGUUUUAGAACAUGCUUCAUCAGCUUCUCUGUAAAAUGUUUUGUCUUCAAGCAUUUCUAGAAUUUUAAGUUUAUAAUAAUUCUUAUUCAUUAUAUAUAUGCAAAAGUCUGUACCGGAUCAAGUAUAUUAUAAAAAAAUAAAUGAACAUUUAUUGACGCCAUAUUGUAUUAUUUGCCCUGAUGAGUAUAAACGAAACCUGUAGGCAAAUAUAAUCUAACUCAUGUAA